CGAAGGGUGCUAGCGUUGUUCGGAAUCACUGGGUGUAAAGCGUGCGUAGGCGGCUAUGCAAGUCAGAGGUGAAAUCCCCAAGCUUAACUUGGGAACUGCCUUUGAAACUGCAUGGCUAGAGUGUUGGAGGGGAUAGCGGAAUUUCUAAUGUAGCGGUGAAAUGCGUAGAUAUUAGAAGGAACACCUGCGGCGAAGGCGGCUAUCUGGACAACAACUGACGCUGAGGCACGAAAGCGUGGGGAUCAAACAGGAUUAGAUACCCUGGUAGUCCACGCUGUAAACGAUGGAUGUUAGCCGUUGGGGGGUUACCUCUCAGUGGCGUAGCUAACGCGUUAAACAUCCCGCCUGGGGAGUACGGUCGCAAGAUUA
rnacentral:rRNA from 1 species